GCAGUCGAGCGGCAGCACAGAGGAACUUGUUCCUUGGGUGGCGAGCGGCGGACGGGUGAGUAAUGCCUGGGAAAUUGCCCGGUAGAGGGGGAUAACCAUUGGAAACGAUGGCUAAUACCGCAUAACCUCGCAAGAGCAAAGCAGGGGACCUUCGGGCCUUGCGCUACCGGAUAUGCCCAGGUGGGAUUAGCUAGUUGGUGAGGUAAGGGCUCACCAAGGCGACGAUCCCUAGCUGGUCUGAGAGGAUGAUCUGCCACACUGGAACUGAGACACGGUCCAGACUCCUACGGGAGGCAGCAGUGGGGAAUAUUGCACAAUGGGCGCAAGCCUGAUGCAGCCAUGCCGCGUGUAUGAAGAAGGCCUUCGGGUUGUAAAGUACUUUCAGUAGGGAGGAAGGUGGUUAAGUUAAUACCUUAAUCAUUUGACGUUACCUACAGAAGAAGCACCGGCUAACUCCGUGCCAGCAGCCGCGGUAAUACGGAGGGUGCAAGCGUUAAUCGGAAUUACUGGGCGUAAAGCGCAUGCAGGUGGUUUGUUAAGUCAGAUGUGAAAGCCCUGGGCUCAACCUAGGAAUCGCAUUUGAAACUGACAAGCUAGAGUACUGUAGAGGGGGGUAGAAUUUCAGGCGUAGCGGUGAAAUGCGUAGAGAUCUGAAGGAAUACCGGUGGCGAAGGCGGCCCCCUGGACAGAUACUGACACUCAGAUGCGAAAGCGUGGGGAGCAAACAGGAUUAGAUA
rnacentral:rRNA from 1 species